rnacentral:rRNA from 1 species
GACGAACGCUGGCGGCGUGCCUAAUACAUGCAAGUUGAGCGAUGAAGAUUGGUGCUUGCACCAAUUUGAAGAGCAGCGAACGGGUGAGUAACGCGUGGGGAAUCUGCCUUUGAGCGGGGGACAACAUUUGGAAACGAAUGCUAAUACCGCAUAACAACUUUAAACAUAAGUUUUAAGUUUGAAAGAUGCAAUUGCAUCACUCAAAGAUGAUCCCGCGUUGUAUUAGCUAGUUGGUGAGGUAAAGGCUCACCAAGGCGAUGAUACAUAGCCGACCUGAGAGGGUGGUCGGCCACAUUGGGACUGAGACACGGCCCAAACUCCUACGGGAGGCAGCAGUAGGGGAUCUUCGGCAAUGGACGAAAGUCUUACCGAGCAACGCCGCGUGAGUGAAGAAGGUUUUCGGAUCGUAAAACUCUGUUGGUAGAGAAGAACGUUGGUGGGAGUGGAAAGCUCAUCAAGUGACGGUAACUACCCAGAAAGGGACGGCUAACUACGUG